CUAGGAGAUACACCUGUACCCAUGCCGAACACAGAAGUUAAGCCCUAGAACGCCGGAAGUAGUUGGGGGUUGCCCCCUGUGAGAUAGGGAAGUCGCUAAUC
rnacentral:rRNA from 1 species